UACGGAGGGAGCUAGCGUUGUUCGGAAUUACUGGGCGUAAAGCGCGCGUAGGCGGCUUUGUAAGUUAGAGGUGAAAGCCCGGGGCUCAACCCCGGAAUUGCCUUUAAGACUGCAUCGCUAGAAUCCGGGAGAGGUGAGUGGAAUUCCGAGUGUAGAGGUGAAAUUCGUAGAUAUUCGGAAGAACACCAGUGGCGAAGGCGGCUCACUGGACCGGUAUUGACGCUGAGGUGGCGAAA
rnacentral:rRNA from 1 species